CUAGUGAAAUCAAGGCUAAAAUACUGUAGAUUUCAACCCUCUAUGGUGCAAUCCUACAAUCCAAUGUGCAGCCUUAAUCCCUGCCAAUAUUUAUUUAACAUGUUUAGAUACCCCUUGUGUCAGGAACAUAAGGUCAGGAAGCCCACGCUAGUGGAUCAUAUUUAUAAGUGCUCAUUGUUCGAAAAGAAGAAAAUCCUGUCAGGAUUGAAGAUAGAGCGCAGGGAAGGUCAUAAACAUGAGGGACCAUACUCUUGAACCAAGAUGGAGCUGGAUAGAGGUGGUUAUGUUCGCAGCAAGGCCUUUCAGGACUCCCAGUACAGUGUAUACUAGAGCAUUCAGCCGUUUACUGUUCAUACAAGUGUUUUACACCGUUACCUGUCAUAAGCUAGGUUUCCAUCCAAUUUGGCAAAAGAUUUUCAUGUGAAUAUUCUCAAAUC